GUGUUCAGUUUGACAGUUCAUAUAUUAAAAUUUUAAUAUUAUAAAGAAGAUUAGCAAGGUCCCUGUAUAGGGAUGACACAUAUUUCUGAAGUGGGCCAUUCUGUC